rnacentral:lncRNA from 1 species
GUAAAUUCCCCCUGGCCCUUCUUUACCUUUUUGUGCCAUAUAUAGUAACAUUCCUGAACUCUUGUCAGGAAAAUUUCUUCCAAGCAAGGAUUGACAAAGGUGUAAUCAAUAAGAACGAUCUUGGCCUUUAUGUUUUUGCUUCAAAGCCAUCAAGUGGAGCUGCUAUUUUCAAGAUUUAACAUCCGCCAAUUGUUUGCUCUUUGGCACAUUGUCAGAUCUUGUUUUAUUUGUCUGAGAAGACUCUGAUUUAGUUUAACAGAAUAAAAUUCUAUGCUAUGCUGCAUUCCCCUGGCCCUUCUUUACCUCUUUGUGUCAUAUAUAGUAACAUUCCUGAACUCUUGUCAGGAAAAUUUCUUCCAAGCAAGGAUUGACAAAGGUGUAAUCAAUAAGAAUGAUCUUGGCCUUUAUGUUUUUGCUUCAAAGCCAUCAAGUGGAGCUGCUAUUUUCAAGAUUUAACAUCCGCCAAUUGUUUGCUCUUUGGCACAUUGUCAGAUCUUGUUUUAUUUGUCUGAGAAGACUCUGAUUUAGUUUAACAGAAUAAAAUUUUAUGCUGCUUUCCCCUGGUCCUUCUUUACCUUUUUGUGCCAUAUAUAGUAUUCUUUACCUUUUUGUGUCAUAUAUAGUAACAUUCCUGAACUCUUGUCAGGAAAAUUUCUUCCAAGCAAGGAUUGACAAAGGUGUAAUCAAUAAGAACGAUCUUGGCCUUUAUGUUUUUGCUUCAAAGCCAUCAAGUGGAGCUGCUAUUUUCAAAAUUUAACAUCCGCCAUUUGUUUGCUCUUUGGCACAUUGUCAGAUCUUAUUUUAUUUGUCUGAGAAGACUCUGAUUUAGUUUAAUAGAAUAAAAUUCUAUGCUGCGUCCUCUUGGCCCUUCUUUACCUUUUUGUGCCAUAUGUAGUAACAUUCCUGAACUCUUGUCAGGAAAAUUUCUUCCAAGCAAGGAUUGACAAAGGUGUAAUCAAUAAGAAUGAUCUUGGCCUUUAUGUUUUUGCUUCAAAGCCAUCAAGUGGAGCUGCUAUUUUCAAGAUUUAACAUCCGCCAAUUGUUUGCUCUUUGGCACAUUGUCAGAUCUUGUUUUAUUUGUCUGAGAAGACUCUGAUUUAAUUUAACAGAAUAAAAUUCUAUGCUGUGUCCCCCUGGCCCUUCUUUACCUUUUUGUGCCAUAUAUAGUAACAUUCCUGAACUCGUGUCAGAAAAAUUUCUUCCAAGCAAGGAUUGACAAAGGUGUAAUCAAUAAGAACGAUCUUGGCCUUUAUGUUUUUGCUUCAAAGCCAUCAAGUGGAGCUGCUAUUUUCAAGAUUUAACAUCCGCCACUUGUUUGCUCUUUGGCACAUUGUCAGAUCUUGUUUUAUUUGUAUGAGAAUACUCUGAUUUAGUUUAACAAAAUAAAAUUCUAUGCUGCGUCCCCUGGCCCUUCUUUACCUUUUUGUGCCAUAUAUAGUAACAUUCCUGAACUCUUGUCAGGAAAAUUUCUUCCAAGCAAGGAUUGACAAAGGUGUAAUCAAUAAGAACGAUCUUGGCUUUUAUGUUUUUGCUUCAAAGCCAUCAAGUGGAGCUGCUAUUUUCAAGAUUUAACAUCCGCCAAUUGUUUGCUCUUUGGCACAUUGUCAGAUCUUGUUUUAUUUGUCUGAGAAGACUCUGAUUUAGUUUAACAGAAUAAAAUUCUAUGCUGCGUUGUAAGUAACUUUUCCAAAUUAAAUACUCAUUUAAUUCGGCAAAAAUAAAUUAACUAUCAUCUUUUUAUCUGUCCUAAGUUAUAGAUACUUUAUCUUUUGAGAUGCUAAUUUCUUUAUUAGCUUAUUAAAUAGUUAAUAUUAAGGGAAAAUUAUCAUUUAGUUUCUAUGUUAUGGAGAAAUUUACUGAUUGAUUUCUUGAUUUUAAAAAAUAUAUUAAAAUAUUCUUGAUAUUUUAAAAAGUCUACUAGGUAGUUUUUUUUGUUAAUUUUAAUUGUUAAAUAUUGUAAAUAAGUCUAAAUUAUUUUCGAUAUAGAGAGAUUAAUUAGUAAAUUUUUUUAAAAAUUUGAGAGAUUAACUGAUAAAUUUUUUAAAAUUAUAGGGAUUAAUAAAAUUAAUGGAGGUAUUCUAUAGUAAUUUUUUAAAAUUGAGAGAUUAAUUAGUGAGUUUAUUUAUAUUAUAAAGACUAAAUAUUAAUUUUUUUAAUAUUAAUUAUACUUUUCUUUGUAAAAGAUUUAAGUAAAAACUUAAUAAUUUAAAAUCUUAGGAUGGAGAUGGAGAGUAAUUUUUUUCUUCAACAUUCACUUGCGAGCAGAAAAAAUCCAUUGCCAUUUCGAAAGUAAAUAGUUAAUGUAGCAAAAAUUAUAAUAAUGACGUUAAACAGGAUCGUGGCACUAAUAGGUCUUGUAGGAGAAUUGGAAUUGGACCAGCAAGGCAUCGACCACCGUGCAUAUCCUAUCAGGAUGGGCCAUGGUGGACACUUGAUAAAUCCAAUUGCACGCACUUCCGCUUGCAACCUAAUGCCCAUUACUCGCCAGCCUGAAUCGAAAAAUUUGAAUAUGGUUUCCGAGUAUAAGCCUUGAAGCACGUAGUACAUGCCCAUCUCACUCUCAGUCUCUUACGAUUGAAAGGGUAGCUUUGUACAUAUCAAAACUCUAAAUUAUUGGAGCCAAAAAUUUCAGAUACAUCGGGGUUUGUCAAAAAGAGGCUUCCCACCUACAAAACAAUCAACGUUUUCAAUUAAAUUUCAUAGGUCCUACCAUAACCAUAGCAACAGCUCCAACUCCAAGGCUGAUUUUUAUUGGAUGCAGCAGCUGCUUUUGUUUUUCAUAUGCAUGUUUCUCUUUGCUGCUCAUUGUUGAGUUAGGUAAUGAAUCUUUAUAAAUAUGAAGAGCUAUUGAAAGAAACUCUUCCAAGUCUACUUUACAAGAAAUUCUUAUUUAAUAUGGAAACCACAUAUAAGGACAGUUCACAUAGAUUAUAAUAUGAAUUUAUCAUAUGUAACUAACUGGUAAUGAAAAAACAACAGCAUUUUCUUAUAAAGGAACCAGAUUAGAUUAAUACCUGCAACAAUGCUCUUUAAAUAAAAGUCUUAAUUUCAAAAAUAAAAUAAAAGACUUUGGUUAAUCACUUUGUAACUUUUAAAUUAAAUAUUUAUGUUAAAUUUCACUCUCUCUCUCUAUUUAAAAAUUCCUUUCUUAUAGUAAAAAAUAAUAAUAACCGAAUCCAUAAAGAUAGUGUUAUAAAAAAAAAUCCAUAAUUAGAGUGUGAUUUUAAUUAUAUUUUUAGACUUAAAUGAAGUGGGUCAAUUCAAAUUCUCCCGAAAAUUAUUAAUCAGAUAAUUUUGAUAAAAAACAUUGAUAAAUCGUAAAAUAGCAAAAAAAUAAUAAUAAUAAAGUGUCGGUGAAGCUUACAUGGAGGACAGCUUCACAUGCUUCGUUUCCGUUUCGCUGUACUUUAUAUGACACGCAUCGAGAAAACAGAGCAGAGAUGGGAGAGCUCAGAGCUCCAGAACUUCUGCUGUCCGUCCUUUUCUUCUCCUUGUAUACAUAUAUAUAUAUAUAUAUAUUUUAAUUACUUUUAAUUUAGU